AAAAACUAGAGGAUAAAUUAUGUAUGUCUACUUGUUCCAAUAAAUUUCAUUGGAGGUGAACUAACAUUAUUUAAAAGGGGGUACAAAUAACAAAAACUAGAAGUAAUUUUUUAAUAUUUAUAUAUAUUACUAUUGGUUUUUAAAAAAAAAUUGAGGGUACAACCCCAUUGCACUAUAUUGGAUCCGCAUAAGUGAGAUUUGAUGAGCAUGGAAGAAAACGGAGAGGGAGGCGAUGAUAGAGUUGGCAUUAAUUAAUCCUCAUCUCUUAAUUCCAUACAAGAUGGGAAAAUUUCAUCUCUCCCACAGGUUGGUAUUGGCACCAAUGUCAAGAUUGAGGUCAUACAACUUCACAGCACAGCCACAUGCAGCUCUCUACUACUCAUAGAGGAUACAAAGGCUGGAUUCUUCAUUUCCGAAGCUUCUGGAGUUUCUACCACUGCUCAAGGAUAUAUAAUAAUACACACAGACACAGUGUCUCUAUAUCAUGAGAUAUAUAUGAUCUAGAUUAUGAAUAAGUCUGUGUUACAUUUGAAACAAGGUCCCUUGUUUACUGAAUUGAAGCUUUCAGAUAUUUAAGAGUCAA